rnacentral:lncRNA from 7 species
GGAGAGCUGGCAGCUGGCAUGUGCUGCUGGGAGUGGUUUUCUGGUUGUGAAGUUUUGCUUCUACUUAGGUGUGGGGUCCUAGAGUGGAGUGCUUAAAAGCUACCUGUCCUUGCUGUUAUUAAAUUCCUUUUCCCACGGUGGAACUGCAGAAGAGGCACUAUGCAAUAACCUGUGAUCAGGAUCCCAGUUAUGUGCUGGAUAGGCAGCUGAAGAAGCUCCUAGACCUGUCUUUCUAAGAUUUGGACAGAGCCUAUAGAUAAGAUGGCAUGAAGAAGAGGUUCAGGAAUUCUAGUGGCAACCGCUACUAUUACGAAAAUAAAGAUGCUUUCAGGAAGUUGUCAGAAGAGACCCUCCCUGGAUAAAUGUUCUUUUCCAAGAAAGCCACUUAAAAACAAAAACAAAAACAGAACAAAAAUGAUUCAAGCAGUUUUGGCCUAACCCAGAAACAACGCUGCAGCAAAGUUCCGGCUGCGUUUUAUUAAACUCAGAAUCUUUCUGGCCCUUUUGGUGUGCUGGGGUGGGGGCUCGUGCUCCGCUCCAGCCUCAGCAGGGCCCCAAAGUGCCGCUGUUCAGCUGUGCCUGUCCUGCUCUGCCCCUUUCUCUUCUGUUAAAUGGAAGUUGACAUAACAGAAGAGAGGAGCCUGCCAGGAGGGUGUCAGAGUCAGCAGUGAUCACAAUCAGACAUUGCAGUCGCAUUGCUCUACCAAGUCCUAGGAAGAAAUAACCAUCUGUUUCGGUGGAUGCAGGGGAAACAGCAACAGCAAAAAAAUAACCACGGAACCGUGUCCAGGAUUUUUUCAUUCAAAGCCAUGCCUGGUGCCUGUCAGGGAGAUGCAAACUGAGGUUUGAUAGUAAUGCAAGUUUGGGACCUUUUGUACCAGCGGAUAACACCCAGCACUCAGCUAACAUGCAGCACAGUCAGGUUCCAUGUGUAUGACACUUCCAUUUUCCUUCUGGACCUGCACUGCACAGCAGCCUGGGGCAUCCGUAGAGUGACCUUAACCCACCUGGCCAAUGGAUUUCCCUUCUGCAUACAGUGAGAAAAGCCUGUUACCACAAUUGGAAGUGGCCACCCACCCCUUGGCUCUCCCUGUCUUGCACCCAACAGCACAGCACAUUGGCCCCUGUGCGAUGUCCUCAAAGCACAGCAAAUAUGCCUGGCUGCAGAGUGUUACCAUGCAUGCUACAGAGGCAAAAUUCAUUUAUUCACUCAGGCAGGUGAUGGAUAGUCUGUCAGUGUUUAUACAGUAGACAUAAGCCUAAUUUUCAGGUAUUAGUUGAUUAACACUUGAGUCGUAGUGUGUGUCCUGUGUCCAGUAAUGUGGAACAUCAAAUGUGUGAAAAAGAUUAAUAGUGUGCACAGAUGUUACUCAGAGGAUCAAUUUGUCUGGGGUUUGAAGAGGUGGUACCCUGCAGAUCAAUAGGAAAGGAGAAAAUUAGAGUAAUGUGUUGAAAGAAAUCACAGCCGACUCUCUGCCUGGCUGGGUUAUCUGCUCCAAAAACUCAGCUCCUCAUAAAGACUUUCAAGGACUGCAACAAAAUGCUAAGCGCUUUCUCCUAUAAUAUUUUUGUUACUUAUAGACCUACAGCUUCCCCAAAUGGCAAACCCUUUGCGAAGGACACAAAGCAGCCCUUGUGCAACGUGACAAGGAAAACUUUUCCCUGGCAUUUUGUAAGAAAAACGCUUCCCUGUAUUAUAAAUAGCAACAGGCAGGAGGGCAAUGGAAAUAAAUGUCGCUCUGUAAAUAAGGGAACCAAAGCUGGACAGUAGAAGGACCCUUUCUGGACAAGCUCAAGUUUUCUUAAGUUUUAAAGAAGUUUUCCGAGCCCUGCAUGCCGGGUGCUACACAGUUCUUUGAGAUCUGUGAGUCUGCAGGAAGUUCCCCCAUGGGAGAGGGACAGACCCCUGAUAUCCUAAAUAACACCAGCAUGGAUGGAGAGUGCUCCACCAAGGAGCCCUACAUCGGCAGGAGCAGGAUGCAGUGACCCCUUUGCUCUCUCCUAUUCCUUCCUGGCUUUCAAUAGCAAGGGGUGGGAAGGAAUAGGAGAUUUAGGAAGGAGGGAGGCAGUAUUUGGGGAGAGUUCUCCCAUGGGUGGUUCUGGCAGUGGGACAGCUGGGGAGCGAGCAGCCUGCUUGCGGGUGUGCUCUGCCAGCACGGGGGUUCUGCCUAUCUGUUUAUCUCUGCUAUUCAAAAAUGGUUCCUUGCCACUGAGACAGAAAGCAGCUUUGGACAGAAAUUUCAGCACAUGAUGGGAAUGUCAGCAGUGUUAUGCUCUUUCAUAUUUUUUUUAAAGCCUGGCUUUCUGCAAACUGACAUAUUUACAUGCUUGCUUUAUAACAUUGGCAUGGGAUUUAUGAAAUCUCCUUAAAAUUAAUGUCUAUUUCUAACAAAUUUAAAUUAAAAAUGACCAUACUCACAUG